CGUGAAGAGAAUUCUCAGAUAUCUUAAAGGAACAGAUGAUCUUGGACUUUACUAUCCAAGAAGUGACACAUUUGAGCUAAGAGGAUAUGCAGAUGCAGAUUAUGCAGGAGAUCUUGUAAAUAGGAAAAGCACCUCAGGUAUCAUUGAAAGGAACAAAGAUAAUACUAAGUCAAGGAAGAAAUCAAGUGUGGAUUUUGAAGACUAAGUGAAGAUGUUUCCCUAAUUGAUACUGGAGCAGCAUUGGAGCAAGAAGAAUAAAGCGAGGCGUUUUAUUUCUAGUUCCAUUGUAAAGGAACGGGUAAAGAUGGUAAGGAACUGUGGCAGUUUUAUUUGAGAAUGAUAGUCUAUUCCUGUGUAAGGAACAGACGAAUCGGCACUAAACUAAUAAGUUAAAGGAACUAACAAAUAAAAGGAACUAGACUUAGGCUUGAAGCAUUACAACGGUACAUUGAUGACAGUUGAGUAGAUAAUGCCUAAAAUAUAGGUAACCGUUUUUAUCUAAGAGAAAAUCCGAUUUUAUGGAAAAUCUUUUUAAGGAAAAGAUUUUGUUUUUCAAAAAGAUAAUAAAAAUAUUAUUCGGUUUUUACGGAUUUUAAUUAAAGAUAAUAUUUUUAUUAAAAGAAUUUAAUUUCAGUUUUCAAAUUUAAUAUGUUUUAAAUUAAAUCUGAUUUUCGAGUAAUGCUCAAAGUAGUUACUAUAAUCUAGGAGCAGUAACUAAAAACACGCCCACGUCUAACAUGAUCAUGGGAUCAUGGGAUAUUUUGAGGAACGUGUUCCUUGGGGUAAGGAACAUCAUGGGAUAAUGGUUUUUCACAAAUGCACGUUUUAAUUCCCACGUUCUAAAUUACUGUCACUAUAAAUAAUAUUGUCUAAGUAAGUUUCAAAGUGUGUCUGACUAAGUGAUUUAGUGAGUUUAACUAAUUAAAGUGUCAGUGCCUUCAUUCUCUCAUAAUAGCCAUUUGUUCUUUGCUUACUUACUCUAAUUCCACUAAGCUUAUUUCGAUCAAUUGUAUUUUGGUUUUUGGGGUAAGGGGACUUUGAGUGAAGUUCUAUAAGAGAGAAGCUUUGAGUAAGCUAGUAAGAGUGAGAAAACUUCAAGUGAAGUUGAGAGGAAUUGUUGUUAAGGGAACAGUGGCUCAGGAACUUGAGUUUAGGAACUCAAGGUGUGGCUCGAGAAUAGAAUUAGGUUGUAACAAAGUUGUUUGGCAUAAUUAGUGAAAGAGUCGAGUUUAAAAUCUCUA